rnacentral:rRNA from 1 species
GCAGGUCCUGAAAGGGAGUUUGCCGAUUGAAAGCGCAGGUCAGGGGCUGCAGCUCUUUGGCUGUCAGUUGACUUGGCUGGGCGGGUCCAAUACCAGUUGGGUUCCUCUUGCCUUGGCUUGAGGUUCCAGGCUGUGAGGGGUGGCUUGAAAAACUCUUAAGCAUUUUUUUUCUGAAGGCAGACUGUUGGCUGGCUUGCUGGCUGCAGACUGAAUUAAUAACGACAACUCUCAACAACGGAUAUCUUGGCUCCCGUAACGAUGAAGAACGCAGCGAAAUGCGAUACGUAAUGUGAAUUGCAGAAUUCCGUGAACCAUCGAAUCUUUGAACGCAAAUUGCGCUCGAGGCCUCGGCCAAGAGCAUGUCUGGCUCAGCGUCGGCUUACUACCCUCAACCAAUUCCCUUAUGGGUAUUGAUUGGAGUUGGCUUUCCGGUGUUCCGAUUAGGUUGCCGGUCAGCUGAAAAACAUUCUCGCUGUGGGAGCUGCUUUCCCUUCAAAAAGGAAAGCCGAGUUCCGAUUUGGUAGGUGACCUUUGCCGGUUGCAUGCG